AAUUCAUCAACAUUUUAGCAGUCAAUACCUAAUAAUAAAGCUUCAAUUUUUAUUAAAAUCUUGGCCAUAGAGUCACUUUUUUCAGACCCACUUUAAGUCUCUUUCAGAUCCUGAAUUUAUGACUCCAUCUAAUUCUCACAACUGCUCUGGAAGAAAGAACCCUUUAUCAACAACUGAAAAGAUAUACCUAAGAGUCCAUAGAGAAGACACAAAGAAUCAAAAGCUUAGAGGUGACUUAAUCUCUCCCAAAUGUCGUUCACCAAUUAUUCCAGCAUGUAAUGAGAAUAAUGAAGGGCUUAGAAGUGAAGAUUUCAUUCAAUGACCCCACAAAUCUUAAAAUUGUCUAUACCCCCUACAUGGACCAACAGAAGUAGAGAAGAGCAUAUAGUAAACCAUUUGUCCAAAAACAGUAUGCAUCAAAUUACCAUUUGUAUUACAAUAACAGAAAAAGUAAAAAGCCUCAUUUUUUAACACUUUGUGGUCAGUAAUGAUGCAUUUGGAGAGCAUAACAUUUGCAUUUGUACAGGGAGGCAGCUUGUAGGAAGGAACAAAUAUCCUAGAUUGCAAGUUUUAAUAUCCACAAUUGCUGAUGGAAAUUUGGAGUGGAGAGAAGAAAUUGAAGGGAGAAAGAAGCCCGUCACUGGAGCAGCCUCCUUGAAGGAUAUGAGACUUCUAGCUUGCCUUUCCCCCUUUAUUCCUAAAGAAAGAAGAAAGAUAUCUCACAAGAAUUGCUGCUCUGGAAGAUAGAGGGAGAACUGAAAAAAAACUUCAUACUUUCCUUAUGUAUAGUUGAUACUUAAUAAAUGGUUGUUGAAUAUAAGGUUGAGGCCAGAGACUAUUGCACUUAAGUCUUUGUAUAAUUAGCCCCUAGCAAUGUGCCUGGCACUUAAUAAAUGCUUUGUUAAUUAUCAGUUGAAUAAAUGAAUGGGGCAGCUCAGAAGGGGAUACAGAAUGUCACACCUAUUCUAAAGAGAAAUUCAUUUCACUCCAAUAACUAUAUCCCACUGAUCCAAGCUCCUGGGCUUAUGAUGUGGACUGCGUUGUGAGAGAUGGAAAAGGGUGUUCAUAAGUAGGACUCAACAAGCUUUUGUUUGAUCUCUGAUCAUCAGUAUUAAUCCCUGUUGUGUACAACUAGCAUCCUUAGCCUCCAUGAUAAUCACUUCCCAGAUUGCCAACAUGCUGCUUUCCCAGGUCAAAUGCUCCCAUCUUCCUAUUGCUUAAACUUCAUUUUGCCUUGCUGUUAAUUCUGUGUUUGAUGCCUCUACCCCUAUUAGGAAAAUACAGUUGCUUUAAGUUUGUUACAGAACUGACCCAUUAUUAACAUUUUCCUAAUCCAUACUAGCCAACCCAACUUUCUGUUGUAGAGAACAUCAGUGAAUGAAUGGAGGAAUCUCUAGCUUCAAAUACAUCUGCAAGCUUAUGAAGACACUAAAGGACACAUUUAGAGGAGGAUGCCAGUGUGAAGGAGUAGCUUCCAUUUCUGAAAGGACAUCUGACUCACAUACACCUGACUGACAUAGAAGGCAAGAAGAUCACCAAGUGACUCGUUUGCCCCUAUGUCCAAGGAGGUCAGGGUGAUUGGGAGAUUUUAUCAUCUGUCCUCACCACUCCACAGUCCAGAGGCUGACAGGGGGCCCAGGCUGUUAUCUUCAAGAUCACAGCACUGAAAAAAAACUCUGAACUUAUCAGCUGGAGCAUGAAUAAGGUUAGGAUGUGCAUGGAGGUAGAAGACUGAAAACAGAGACCUAAUUUGAUGGAAAAAGAGAUGAAAAUAAAUACAAGAGAGCAUGUUCUCAUGGGAGGCAACAUGAUAUAGUGGAGAGCUUGACAUCAGGAGAUGUGGGUUCAAAUCCUGACUGCUACCUAUAUGACCUCAAGCUUAUCCUCUGCUCCUCAUGUUUUGAAGCGAUCUCUAAAGCUUUUUCCAGCUCUAAAGCUAUAUUCUUUUCUAAAAUUUAAAUCCUAUAUUCCUUAUCAUAUUAAUUGAAAACAAUGUAGCUCACUGGUUUGUUUGGGAAGCUGACUGGUACAUUACUGUGACUGAUUAAUUUACUUUCUAUGAUUUAAAGAUUCUGAUAAUAAAGAAAGCUAUGUGU